rnacentral:rRNA from 1 species
AACGCUAGCUACAGGCUUAACACAUGCAAGUCGAGGGGCAUCAGGGUAGCAAUACCGCUGGCGACCGGCGCACGGGUGAGUAACACGUAUCCAACCUACCGUUAACUCGGGGAUAGCCUUUCGAAAGAAAGAUUAAUACCCGAUAGUAUAUUUUCUUCGCAUGUUGAAAAUAUUAAAGAAUUUCGGUUAUCGAUGGGGAUGCGUUCCAUUAGGCAGUUGGCGGGGUAACGGCCCACCAAACCUACGAUGGAUAGGGGUUCUGAGAGGAAGGUCCCCCACAUUGGAACUGAGACACGGUCCAAACUCCUACGGGAGGCAGCAGUGAGGAAUAUUGGUCAAUGGACGAGAGUCUGAACCAGCCAAGUAGCGUGAAGGAUGGCUGCCCUAUGGGUUGUAAACUUCUUUUAUAUGGGAAUAAAGUUCUCCACGUGUGGAGUUUUGUAUGUACCAUUAUGAAUAAGCAUCGGCUAACUCCGUGCCAGCAGCCGCGGUAAUACGGAGGAUGCGAGCGUUAUCCGGAUUUAUUGGGUUUAAAGGGAGCGUAGGUGGACUGGUAAGUCAGUUGUGAAAGUUUGCGGCUCAACCGUAAAAUUGCAGUUGAUACUGUCAGUCUUGAGUACAGUAGAGGUGGGCGGAAUUCGUGGUGUAGCGGUGAAAUGCUUAGAUAUCACGAAGAACUCCGAUUG